rnacentral:rRNA from 1 species
ACGUAGGCAGCGAGCGUUGUUCGGAAUUACUGGGCGUAAAGAGUGUGUAGGUGGUGCUCUAAGUUCGGUGUGAAAUCUCCCGGCUCAACCGGGAGGGUGCGCCGAAUACUGAAUGACUAGAGUGCGGGAGAGGAAAGUGGAAUUCCUGGUGUAGCGGUGGAAUGCGUAGAUAUCAGGAGGAACACCGGUGGUGUAGACGGCUUUCUGGACCGUAACUGACGCUGAGACACGAAAGCGUGGGUAGCAAACAGGA